GUCAUACAAAAUAUUCAAUGUUCUUGUUAAUGCUGAUUUUUUAUUUCUUGCUGUGGGUCACACUUUUGACCGCCUUACAUGUCGAUCUGAGAGCAGAAGAAUAUUGUGUUUGAUAGAGGAGGAUCACUGAAGUUUAGCUCUCAUUUCAACAGUACCAGGGUAUAAAAACUGACCUAAGUUCAGCAACACCUCGAGAAGACAGGAAGAGACGGCACAGUGCAGUUCAAACACUACUUAGUGUAAUUCAUGAGGCCUGCUGCAAAGCUCUGUAAGAGUAAAAGAAGCAGUGAACGGUGGUUUAAUGUUGUCUGUCAAGCAGACGAAGAAGAUCAGCCUCUAUAUAUGGAUACAUGGAAGCUUUUCAAAAACAUACAGUCCAUCCCUAAAUUAACGGUAUGGGUGAGGCAUCUUUGUCUGUAAGAGAAGUCUCAAACUCUAAAACUCACAGCCUCACAUUCACUCUACAGGCUGGACACGUUGAAGACAUGACAGAUCACAGCAGCUACAGCAGGUGCAGCUCCAUCCAUCUCCACUGUGAGAUUUUACAUUGACAUUUAUUCAUUUAGCUGACGCUUUUAUCCAAAGCGAAAAUAUAUCUAACUUUAUUAUUUUGACAUGACAAUAAUAUAUGUUUUGUGAUAUUGUAGGAAACGAUCAUUUUUACAUCAUAAUUCUCGUUUUCAUUGAAAAACAUAUUAAAACGUUUUUUGAGGGGAUCUGUAUCAAACAAAGGUGUGUAGGCCAGGACAUCUCUGCAACACGACAAUAUUUAAUUUAAAAAUGGUAUUUUUACAUACUUUUCACCUUUAACAAACAUUGCGCCUCCUGCUAUUUAAACAUUUUGGUAGACCAUAUUGCAGUUAAAAUCUUUCGUUCAGCCCUACAUUCAAUGCAAUUGUGUUUGCAGGAUCCCAGUCACACACAGAUCACACACACCGAAAAUAUGUGCCCGACUGCUUGACCACAUAUCUGUUUUAAACCUGCUUAUUACUGGCCUGCUAAUAAAAUUAUUACUAUUCAUUACUAUUAUGAGCAAAUUGUCGAUAUGUCAGUAUGUAGUUUUUUAGCAUAAGAGACACAUUUACUAUUAUCUGAAGUGUAAACUUACACAAUGUAAUUAACAUCCACCAUUUACCUCAAUUGUGUAAUACUGUGUGUACUGCUGGUAUUGAUUAUUAUUUUGAUGUCCCUGCUUUGUCAACAUCUUUGCCUCUCUUGGUUAGGGUAAGGGUUACUUGUUUAUACAAAACAAGCUUGAACAUCGCAAGUCAUUUUGAGAGAUGCUUUGACAGUUGCUUUGCUAUUUUUGUAGGCGGGUUUUGUUAACGCAAAUUGCUGCUGAAACAGUGUGGAACCGCAGAGCGCUUCACAUCCAUGGAAGAACUUAGAACAACUGAAGUAAAGUGAAUAACUUUGUAGUGUAGCACUUGUGUGAUAAGUGUAAACAUCAAGAUAAGCAUCAAACACAGCCCAGCUUGUUAAACGCCUUUACAGUGUCAUAAAGUCAUUGCUGUGGCACGAUCAUACAUUAUGAUCUUCAGCUUAAUAACAGCUUUACUUUUCUGCAGCCUCAGUAAGUAUCAGCUACAUGUCUAACUAUUGAUACAUUAUUAGAUAAAAGCAUAAACUAAGUUCUUGUUGCUCUGUCAGCCAAAGGAUUACGAUUUCUGCUGACUGUCUUUACCAGGCUGGAUCUCUGAGGUUGAGCGUGGUGAAGACGUUAGUAAACGUUUCUCUGAUUUUUCAAGUUCUCCCACUCAGAUAAUCUGGUUCAGACUGGUCACCAGAAUUCAGACCUGCUGUGUUUGCUCAAUGUACAGCUUUAUUGAGCCUGCUUCAUUCUCUAGUGGAUAUCACAAUGGACCCAAAAUCUCUGCUCUCUUUCUCAGAAUCAAGCUAGUGGAUUUAUUUGACUCUGGACGGUGUUUCUGUGGGUUUUUUGUUUUUCAUAUUUAAAUGUUCAAGUUAAUAUUGUUGUGAAGUUUUGUCUGUCUGUAUUUGGAAGAAAAAAAGAUAUGCGGUCUAAUUGGUUAUUGUUAAAAUAAGGAGAAUGUUGAAUUUGUGUCAAAAUAAGAGCAACAACGUUAAAGGAAUUUUAUCGUCAUAAUUUUGGAAGGCAACUGUGUCCCUAAUGAGAACAUGGAAAUUUUAGGUCUCCCUGCCUCUCAUUAAAAUAUCUGUCAUUGUGCUGGCAGCUGUUUAUUAAUUGUUCCACAGAGGCAGGUUUGUCCAUUUAAAUGUUUGCUAGAUCUGUGUAGAGAAAGUCUGAGUUAUUCAUUUCCCUUGUAGAAGAGCCUGAUGGAACACAAAGCCUGACCUGUGUGAUCCUGGAUGCUCUGACUGCGAAGUACCUGAAGUUCCUGAUUUUAAUAAUGAGGAAAACAGAGCUGUAUUAAAUUUUAUUUUAUUUUCACAUUCUUUUCAAGUCAGUAUUAUAAACAAAUCCAAAUCUCCCUGCUUACCAAAGAGCAACAUUUUAAAAUAAUAAUUAUUAACUAACUGACCAGGUGUGUUUUUUGUCAUUAAGCACAUGGAGAACAGGGUCUGCAGUGGUCAAUUCAAUUAUUAGGCUGGAUUAAGGAGUUUAUUUUUUAAUGUUUGUGUUUCAGAUGGUAAUAUCAUCAUUCCAAGUAAUUUAUGAGCUGACAAUUUUUCUCUCAAAUAAAUAUUUUUUUUCAGAGUGUGGACAGAGAAAUCAAUAUAAAACGAAUCAAAUCAAAUUUUUCAUUGAAGGCAGCGAUGAAACUCAUGAUGCCGUCAAUGAAAAGCCUCAUGGAAAAACAAAUCUGACACGUUUGAUGAUGGGUGCUCUGAUUGUUUUUCUCAUAGUCGUCAUCAUCGGUCUGGUUGUUAAAAUCUGGAAACUUCAGACAGCUCAUGAUGAAACCACAGGCCGGCGGCAGAGCUAGAGCUGGAGACAAAUGUGGUGUACACUGCCAUCAGACAGACUCAGGAAACAGCUGGAACUGCAACUCUGUGUGGAACUGAUGCUUUAUCAUACAAACCUGUGCAUGUGACUUGGUGCAACUAGUGUUUUGGAGGAGUUACCAUCACUUACUACCAUGUUUGUUGCCACCACCAAAAAUCAGAUUUUGUAGUAAAGAUACAUUCAGCCUU